rnacentral:misc_RNA from 1 species
UCAAACUUGGUCAUUUAGAGGAAGUAAAAGUCGUAACAAGGUCUCCGUUGGUGAACCAGCGGAGGGAUCAUUAACGAGUUGCAAAACUCCCAAACCCUUGUGAACCUUACCUAUACCGUUUCUUCGGCGGGCGGCAUCGCCCUAACCCUGCCUCCCUCCGGGAGGCGGACCCGCCGGAGGCAUCUAAACUCUUGAUUUUUGUUGGCCUCUCUGAGUAAACUUUUAAAUAAGUCAAAACUUUCAACAACGGAUCUCUUGGUUCUGGCAUCGAUGAAGAACGCAGC